CGGACCGGCGCACGGGUGCGUAACGCGUAUGCAACCUACCCAUAACAGGGGGAGUAACACUGAGAAAUUGGUACUAAUACCCCAUAAUAUCAUAGAAGGCAUCUUUUAUGGUUGAAAAUUCCGAUGGUUAGAGAUGGGCAUGCGUUGUAUUAGCUAGUUGGUGGGGUAACGGCUCACCAAGGCGACGAUACAUAGGGGGACUGAGAGGUUAACCCCCCACACUGGUACUGAGACACGGACCAG
rnacentral:rRNA from 1 species